rnacentral:lncRNA from 1 species
UGAAGUUGCAUCAUCUUCUUCUUUCUUUUCUGGAGUUUCUCCAAUCUGAAUUCCAAUCUCAUCCAGAUGCAUGUUCUUAGAAUCAGAAUGACCAGAAAAUGAGUGAAUGACAUCUCCACUGACCGAAUCUGAAACCACAAUGCACUCAGGUUGUUUCAUACAACUGACACCAGCCUUCUUGGGCGGACAAAGAUCAAAGGACUUAUCUAUUGCCUGUUGUACAGAAUGCUCUGAAACUCCAAUGCUCAAAAAAUUAUUGGGACCCUCUUCUAGGGAAACCUGGUCUUUAGUAUCAGCUAUGGCAGGUGGCACUGACUCCUGCAUGUGUCCAACUUUUAACUUGCCAGAGAAAUUAAGUUUUGAAGUUGCAUCAUCUUCUUCUUUCUUUUCUGGAGUUUCUCCAAUCUGAAUUCCAAUCUCAUCCAGAUGCAUGUUCUUAGAAUCAGAAUGACCAGAAAAUGAGUGAAUGACAUCUCCACUCUUCGAAUCUGAAGCCACAAUGCACUCAGGUUGUUUCAUACAACUGACACCAGCUUCCAGAGAGUUUGGACUAACAUCAGGUAACUGUGUCUUCGAAUCUGAAGCCACAAUGCACUCAGGUUGUUUCAUACUACUGCCAUCAGCCCCUAAAGAAUUUGGAAUAACAACAGGUAAAUGUGUCGUCAGCCGGUACACAGAAUUGGAGGUAGGUUUAUCAUUGAAAUGGUUUGAACAACUAAAUGGGAAUGUAUGAUGAGAACAUUUGCCUCUACCCUGAGAGGUUCUAUCCUUAGUCCUAAAACAAUCAUGGGCGAGAGGCUUGCUUGCUCCAAC